AUACGUAGGUGGCAAGCGUUGUCCGGAUUUAGUUGGGCGUAAAGCGGGCGCUAGGCGGUUUUUUAAGUCUGAUGUGAAAGCCUUCGGCUCAACCGAAGAAGUGCAUCGGAAACUGGGAAACUUGAGUGCAGAAGAGGACAGUGGAACUCCAUGUGUAGCGGUGAAAUGCGUAGAUAUAUGGAAGAACACCAGUGGCGAAGGCGGCUGUCUGGUCUGUAACUGACGCUGAGGCUCGAAAGUAUGGGUAGC
rnacentral:rRNA from 1 species